rnacentral:rRNA from 1 species
CGUGUAGGCGGCCAAGUAGGUCCGGUGUGAAAACUCGAGGCUUAACCUCGAGAUGUCAUCGGAAACCAUUUGGCUAGAGUCCGGAAGAGGAAAGUGGAAUUCCUGGUGUAGCGGUGAAAUGCGCAGAUAUCAGGAAGAACACCAAUGGCGAAAGCAGCUUUCUGGGACGGUACUGACGCUGAGACGCGAAAGCUGGGAGCGAACA